rnacentral:rRNA from 1 species
CCUACGGGAGGCAGCAGUGGGGAAUAUUGCACAAUGGGCGAAAGCCUGAUGCAGCAACGCCGCGUGAGCGAUGAAGGCCUUCGGGUCGUAAAGCUCUGUCCUCAAGGAAGAGAAUGACGGUACUUGAGGAGGAAGCCCCGGCGAACGACGUGCCAGCAGCCGCGGUAAUACGUAGGGGGCUAGCGUUCUCCGGAAUUACUGGGCGUCAAGGGUGCGUAGGUGGUUUCUGAAGUCAGAGGUGAAAGGCUACGGCUCAACCGUAGGAAGCCUUUGAAACUGGGGAACUUGAGUGCAGGAGCGGAGAGUGGACUUCCUUGUGUAGCGGUUCAAUGCGUAGAUAUUACGAGGAACACCAGUUGCGAAGGCGGCUCUCUGGACUGUACCUGCCCCUGCGGCACGACAGCGUGGGGAGCAAACAGGAUUAGAUACCCCUGUAGUC